UGCCAUUAAUUCCAGUUCUCUGGAGGUAGA
rnacentral:piRNA from 1 species